GGAUUAGAUACCCUGGUAGUCCUAGCUAUAAACGAUGUAGAUUAGGUGUUGGAGGAAUCGAUCCCUUCGGCGCUAAAGCUAACGCAUUAAAUCUACCACCUGGGGAGUACGGUCGCAAGACUGAAACUCAAAGGAAUUGACGGGGACCCGCACAAGCGGUGGAGCAUGUGGUUUAAUUCGAGGCUACGCUAGGAACCUUACCUGGGUUUGACAUGCUAGGAGUAACACAGAAGAAAUUCAGUGUGACCGUAUCCAAUCGGAGCUUAGCACAGGUGCUGCAUGGCUGUCGUCAGCUCGUGUCG
rnacentral:rRNA from 1 species